AUACGGGGGGCGCAAGCGUUGUUCGGAAUUACUGGGCGUAAAGCGCGUGUAGGCGGUUUGGCAAGUCGGGUGUGAAAGCCCUGGGCUCAACCCAGGAACUGCAUUCGAAACUGCCAGGCUAGAGUCCCGGAGAGGAAGGCAGAAUUCCCAGUGUAGGGGUGAAAUCCGUAGAUAUUGGGAGGAAUACCAGUGGCGAAGGCGGCCUUCUGGACGGUGACUGACGCUGAGACGCGAAAGCGUGGGGAGCAAACAGGAUUAGAAACCCCAGUAGUCC
rnacentral:rRNA from 1 species